GACAGAGGGGGCGAGCGCUGUACGGAGUCACUGGGCGCAAAGCGCGCGCAGGCGGCAACCUAAGGGUCGUGUGAAAGCCCCCGGCUCAACCGGGGGAGGCCAUGGCAAACUGGGACGCUCGAGCUGGGGAGAGGCCCCUCGAAUUGCCGGUGUAGCGGUGAAAUGCGUAGAGAUCGGCAGGAAGACCAAGGGGGAAGCCUGGGGGCUGGCCGCAGGUUGACGCUGAGGCGCGACAGCGUGGGGAGCAAACCGG
rnacentral:rRNA from 1 species